CACAAGUGUGGGCGGGGGAGGGCAGAUAAAGAGGGACAAGCCGAGUCCGCGCUGGGCACAGAGCCUGACUCAGGACUUGAUCCAAGGACCCUGAAAUCAUCACCUGAGCUGAAGUCAAAAGUCGUGCUUCCCGGACUGCACCACCCAGGUACCCCGAAGCAAUCCUGUUAUACUGACCCAGUGAACGAGCACAGAUGAGGUCCGAGCUGGGCCAUACACACAUGGGCGGUGGGAGACGUCGGCCAGGGGGGCCGUGGAUGUCCUUGCUGGGGUGGUCGCGAUGACACAGAGGGUGUGCCUGGCAGACGUCUGUUGCAUGCACAGAGCACGAAGCCCGAGGACCAUCUGCUACCGGCCCCAGCCCAGAUGAUACAGUUAGAACCUACCCACAGCAUCCUCUCCCGCCUUCAGACGGUUCCAGGAACAAGGAUCUGUGAGCCACAGAGAGGUGAGCCCUCGGGAAGCACCACCGACCUCGGAAUGAUCUGGUCAAAGCCGCAUGUCCAUCCCCUUUCCAUUUCAAGCAGCCUCAGUCCAGACGGGUCUAUCCCACAAAAGAAAGCCGUUCACCUUCCGUGUGCCCAUCCUCGUGCGCUUUGUGUGCUGGGGGAGAUGCUGUUCAUUCUACAGAUCAUGGCACAAAGGCGUGGAAAAGGAUAGACCCAGAAUGAACUCGGAGAGUAAGGGCCUCGGUGCCCCAGCAGCAGAGCCGGCAUCCGCUCUCGUCGGAUAGGUCUCCUUUCUGGCUCUAGGUUUUGCACAACUGUCUGCCGGCUUCUGAAGGUGGGGAGGCGGGGGGCGGCUUUUCAGGUGCGGCACCUCACAGCACCUAGGUGCCCACAUUUGGAGGUGACACGGGCGACCCAGGUGCAUUUGCUGGAAAAUGCACGCCGCUGCUGUACCCACAUCAAAAGCGUGUGGUCCGAGUGUGGGAGUCCAGGGCGACGGGAGCGCUAUUCCUGGCACAGGCACAGACUGCCUGACUCGCAGCCUCCCCUUAUCUCGGUUUCCCUGUCUCUCAAGCAGGGCAAGAGCUAGCUUUCCUGGUUCCACAAAACCUUGGAGACAAACCACUUCGCUGGUAGGACCCAGGGUGCCAGGAACCAGCUCUUCCAGCGUGCCCCCUGAGAUUUUCUGAGAAUUCCCCGGACAAAGUCUCUACUGUGUUUCUUAGAGGAAGCGAGGUCAUUGGAAGACGUGGUCCGGGGUUUCGAGGUUAAGCUUCACCUCCCAAGGGCUCUUCCUAACCCACAGUCAGAUUCUGCCUCUCUCCUGCUUCACUCCCACUAAGCACUUACCGGGAAAGACACUCAGGGCAGGCCCACCGUCCUCCACCUUCUGAAGGGAACCUGUUCACAGCCCAGAGCUGUUUCCAGUUUCUCAGCAAGAUAGGCCCCUUUUCAUCUCCCAGGGCCUCUGCGAAUGCUGUUCUCUCUCUGCACAUUCUUUCCUUCUGAUCAGGUCAACAAACUCCUCUUCAUUCUUCAGAACCCAGCUCCUUUCAGCCCCUCUGGGAAGUCUUCCCUGGGCGCCUGCAUUCCCUCCGUCCUCAGGCUCAGCAUCAGGGAGCCUGAGAGGCCCUGAGGCCUGCUCCCUGCCCCUAUGCCCAGGCCAGGCUGCCUGGGGUGCUUAUGGGAAGCAGGAGCCAACCUGUCUCCUCCCAUUUCUCCUCCAGACUCCUCCCCCUACAGGAGGUCUGGAAUUCCCAUUCCAGGAGCACCCCCGCCUCCAGGGCCAGGCAGGCCAGAGGCAGGGCUGGAUGGCUGGAGACAGGUGGAGGGAGAAGGUGGUCUGCGGAAAGCCGAUGGGAGCUGGGUGAGGAGGACAGCCGGGACUGUGACUGGGGCUCCCGGUUGUAUGCGAUCGCGUCCCACUGGUGUGUGGGUGGCCCGGGGACCAUGCUCAGGAGGGACCCGUCUGUCAUUUUAGCGCACACCUCCAUGGGUGCUUCGGUUCAGAGCAAGCCUGGGGAAGGGCCAAGGGCGCCAAGUGCCAAGGAUCCUUCUGCCUGAGCUGAGCGGCUGCCCUCGGGAGGAAGAGCUGGCCGUGAGCAGGGCAGGCGCAAGUGCACAGGAGAUAAAGCCUGGGAGCGGCGCAUUGUCUUCCUGCCCCAGGCCGACAGCCUGCGACUCAGAGAGCUCCCUAGGUCUGGUUUUUCCUGUUCCUGGAAUUGCUGUGCAUGGUAAUUUCUCUGGGCUAGGUCAGAAGUGGCUGUUGGGGAGCGUCCUGUGCGUGUGUGUGCAUGUGCACGUGUGUGUGUGUGUGUGUGUGUGUGUGUGUGUAUGUGUGUGUGUGUGAUCUCAGUUUAUAGAAACAGGAAAUUUGGGAUUCGUAUCGACACCAUGUCCCAUGCCAUCUUAUUUCCUAGAAAGGUUGGGCUGAGAGCUGGGGCUGGACUCCUACAGGAAGGGGCUUCUGGGUCUGACCCGGCUUUGACCAGUCUUUUCUUCUGCUGGACGAAGACCCAAAGCACUUGGCCGCCAGCCUGGGAGGAGCUGGGAUGGGUGGCCGGCUCAUCUCAUUCUUGCUGGGUCUCUAAGUUCUGGUGGCCUCUGUCCUGGGCCCCAAGUGAGGGGAGGAAUGACUCUGGAAGGUGGGGGGGGGGG